rnacentral:misc_RNA from 1 species
CCAGGACAAGCACUGACGCGCCUGAGCUUGAAUUAGUCCUGGAAAAACAUUAAACAAAAAUCAGCGACAUGGAAACAACGAAAUCCCCAAUUACUUACAAGUUUAAGCAAAGGACAUAAUCCACACAACAAGCCAUAUCUCUGCAAAUGAAGAACGCAUCGAGUACCUAUAUCCUUCAGUCAAGCCAAAGAAAACAGAAUUCUUACACAAACAAUGACCAUGGCAGACCUCGAACUCGUCCUGUCUUCAACUAUAUCAAAAAGGUAGCUGGAAUUUUCACAAUUUUGCGUUUCCGGAGAAAAAAGGCAGCCGGAGCGGUAACUGGGCCAGGCAAAACAUACAACAGUCAAGUUGAAGGGAUUUCCUUUUCAAAUGAUCUUUCAACAGGAAGCAACAGUAAGAGUUCUUCAAGAUUCAAAUUCUCUAGUUCCUAUGGCUCUUCAAGCACCACAAGUGGACUGUUUGGGACAGUCAAUUUCUCCAUUGAAGAGAUUUAUAAGGCAACCGGAAAUUUCAACCCAGCAAAUAAGAUUGGAGAAGGUGGUUUUGGAACAGUAUAUAAAGGGAAUCUCAAGGAUGGCUCUCUUGUUGCUGUAAAGCGUGCUAACAAGAAUGAUUAUGAUAAGCGUUUGUCAUUGGAGUUCAAGAACGAAGUACUUACCCUAUCUAAGAUUGAACACUUGAAUUUGGUAAGGCUAUAUGGAUAUAUAGAGCAUGGAGAUGAGCGGAUCAUUGUGGUUGAAUAUGUUGGCAAUGGAACUCUUCGAGAGCAUCUGGACAGUAGACGGGGAAAUGGACUAGAGAUUGCUGAACGUCUGGACAUUGCAAUUGAUGUAGCUCAUGCAGUUACUUAUCUUCAUAUGUACACAGAUCCUCCAAUAAUCCAUCGAGACAUAAAAGCAUCAAACAUCCUCAUAACAGAAAAGCUCCGGGCUAAAGUAGCAGAUUUUGGGUUUGCACGAUUGGCCGCAGAAGAUCCUGGUGUUACUCACAUUUCAACUCAGAUCAAAGGAACCACAGGCUACUUGGACCCUGAAUACCUAAGAACAUAUCAACUCACUGAAAAGAGUGAUGUCUACUCUUUUGGUGUAUUGCUUGUUGAACUGGUGACUGGAAGACACCCUAUUGAACAAAAUAGACCAUUAAAGGAGAGAGUAACCACAAGAUGGGCAAUGCAGAAGUUAAAAGAGAAGGACUCCUCCUUAGCGUUGGUGGAUCCAACGCUAAGGAGGAGUCCUUCAUCAAACAUGGCAGUGGAGAAGGUCCUUGAAUUAGCUAAGCGGUGCCUUGCUUCUCUGAGACCAUCAAGGCCGUCCAUGAAGGAAUGUGCUGAGGUCCUAUGGAGAAUUCGAAAAGACUUAAGAGAAAAAGCCAUGUCUUCUUCCUCUGCCUCUACCUCUCACCAGUCAGCAAAUUAUCCCCUCAGAGAUGCAAAGAAGAGCAGAGAAAAAACAUUUGGGAUUGAAGAUGGGGAGCGCUAUAAAUUUAUUUCUGCAUGAAAAUACUUUAUAGAUUAUUUUUGUUUGUUGCUUCGUUAUCAAAUUUCGUGCAUAAGUUGCAGUUCUAAACAUUCCUGAUAGCAAAUCUGAGAUAUGGGGAUUUCAGGUUCAAAUUACAGUAUCAAUCUCCUUUACAUUUGCUAGGAAAGGUUCAGAUAUAAUCCAACCUUAGAAUGCAAUGCCGGAAAUCCAGUGCAUUAAAUCACUUCUUAUGGUAUUUCAAGUUGCUGUUCUUUAGAGCUGAAGAAAUACAUGUCAAAUUCUUUGCUUGUGUAUUUGUAUUCUUCAUUGACAUGUGAAGCCAAAUUGUAUGAUGCGCUUGCGAUAUAUAUUUUUCUAGCAAAUGUAAAGGAG